rnacentral:lncRNA from 1 species
UUAUUCACACUAGAUGUAUAUGUACUUCAUAUUUAAGCAUAACAUAACAUUUUAACAACUUUUCUUAGGCUGCAGGCAAUCAUUUGUAAAAACAUGGUGAGUCUCGGUCGAUGAUCCAGAUGGACUCCCAUAAUUUCCAUAACUGCUGUUUGCCUCAUCUGUGUAGUUGGUGGUGCUCUCAGCUGUGUUGCUAGUUUUGUUAUCAUUGUUAGCUUGCACAGCAGCAGUCGGAAAUGAACCUGCUAUUGGUUUUGGCUUGGCGUCACUUUCAACAGACUGAUACUCAGUUUUCUCAGUCUCCCCCUCCAGUAUAAAUAUUCUGGCACCAGCUUGAAGAUGCAAUGAUGCCAAUCCAAGGACAAACAGAACUGCAAGCACUUUCUUCAUGAUUAGCCUGCACUUAAAUUUAAUGUAAAAGUCACAUGAUAACUUAUAUUAGAAGAAAAUAAUAAUAAAUGAGGCAACUUCAACUCAAAUGAGAUAGACGAUACCUUAUCUUCAUUCUGUUGAAGUUUCU